GACGAACGCUGGCGGCGUGCUUAACACAUGCAAGUCGAACGGAAAGGCCCUGCUUUUGUGGGGUUCUCGAGUGGCGAACGGGUGAGUAACACGUGAGUAACCUGCCCUUGACUUUGGGAUAACUUCAGGAAACUGGGGCUAAUACCGGAUAUGAGCUUCUGCUGCAUGUGGGGGGUUGGUAAGUUUCGGCGGUUGGGGAUGGACUCGCGGCUUAUCAGCUUGUUGGUGGGGUAGUGGAUUACCAAGGCUUUGACGGGUAGCCGGCCUGAGAGGGUGACCGGCGACAUUGGGACUGAGAUACGGCCCAGACUACUACGGGAGGCAGCAGUGGGGAAUAUUGCACAAUGGGCGGAAGCCUGAUGCAGAAACGCCGCGUGCGGGAUGACGGCCUUCGGGUUGUAAACCGCUUUCGCCUGUGACGAAGAGUGAGUGACGGUAAUGAGUAAAGAAGCACCGGCUAACUACGUG
rnacentral:rRNA from 1 species